rnacentral:rRNA from 1 species
UUAAGCGACUAAGCGUACACGGUGGAUGCCCUGGCAGUCAGAGGCGAUGAAGGACGUGCUAAUCUGCGAAAAGCGUCGGUAAGGUGAUAUGAACCGUUAUAACCGGCGAUGUCCGAAUGGGGAAACCCAGUGCAAUUCGUUGCACUAUCGUUAACUGAAUACAUAGGUUAACGAGGCGAACCGGGGGAACUGAAACAUCUAAGUACCCCGAGGAAAAGAAAUCAACCGAGAUUCCCCCAGUAGCGGCGAGCGAACGGGGAGCAGCCCAGAGUCUGAAUCAGCUUGUGUGUUAGUGGAACGGUCUGGAAAGUCCGACGGUACAGGGUGAUAGUCCCGUACACCAAAAUGCACAGGUUGUGAACUCGAAGAGUAGGGCGGGACACGUGGUAUCCUGUCUGAAUAUGGGGGGACCAUCCUCCAAGGCUAAAUACUCCUGACUGACCGAUAGUGAACCAGUACCGUGAGGGAAAGGCGAAAAGAACCCCGGCGAGGGGAGUGAAAAAGAACCUGAAACCGUGUACGUACAAGCAGUGGGAGCACCUUCGGGUGUGACUGCGUACCUUUUGUAUAAUGGGUCAGCGACUUAUAUUCUGUAGCAAGGUUAACCGUAUAGGGGAGCCGCAGGGAAACCGAGUCUUAACUGGGCGUUAAGUUGCAGGGUAUAGACCCGAAACCCGGUGAUCUAGCCAUGGGCAGGUUGAAGGUUGGGUAACACUAACUGGAGGACCGAACCGACUAAUGUUGAAAAAUUAGCGGAUGACUUGUGGCUGGGGGUGAAAGGCCAAUCAAACCGGGAGAUAGCUGGUUCUCCCCGAAAGCUAUUUAGGUAGCGCCUCGUGAACUCAUCUUCGGGGGUAGAGCACUGUUUCGGCUAGGGGGUCAUCCCGACUUACCAACCCGAUGCAAACUACGAAUACCGAAGAAUGUUAUCACGGGAGACACACGGCGGGUGCUAACGUCCGUCGUGAAGAGGGAAACAACCCAGACCGCCAGCUAAGGUCCCAAAGUCAUGGUUAAGUGGGAAACGAUGUGGGAAGGCACAGACAGCCAGGAUGUUGGCUUAGAAGCAGCCAUCAUUUAAAGAAAGCGUAAUAGCUCACUGGUCGAGUCGGCCUGCGCGGAAGAUGUAACGGGGCUAAACCAUGCACCGAAGCUGCGGCAGCGACACUUAUGUGUUGUUGGGUAGGGGAGCGUUCUGUAAGCCUGCGAAGGUGGCCUGUGAGGGUUGCUGGAGGUAUCAGAAGUGCGAAUGCUGACAUAAGUAACGAUAAAGCGGGUGAAAAGCCCGCUCGCCGGAAGACCAAGGGUUCCUGUCCAACGUUAAUCGGGGCAGGGUGAGUCGACCCCUAAGGCGAGGCCGAAAGGCGUAGUCGAUGGGAAACAGGUUAAUAUUCCUGUACUUGGUGUUACUGCGAAGGGGGGACGGAGAAGGCUAUGUUAGCCGGGCGACGGUUGUCCCGGUUUAAGCAUGUAGGCGGAGGUUCCAGGUAAAUCCGGUACCUUUUAACGCUGAGGUGUGAUGACGAGGCACUACGGUGCUGAAGUAACAAAUGCCCUGCUUCCAGGAAAAGCCUCUAAGCAUCAGGUAACAUUAAAUCGUACCCCAAACCGACACAGGUGGUCAGGUAGAGAAUACCAAGGCGCUUGAGAGAACUCGGGUGAAGGAACUAGGCAAAAUGGUGCCGUAACUUCGGGAGAAGGCACGCUGGUGUGUAGGUGAAGUCCCUGCGGACGGAGCUGAGACCAGUCGAAGAUACCAGCUGGCUGCAACUGUUUAUUAAAAACACAGCACUGUGCAAACACGAAAGUGGACGUAUACGGUGUGACGCCUGCCCGGUGCCGGAAGGUUAAUUGAUGGGGUUAUCCGUAAGGAGAAGCUCUUGAUCGAAGCCCCGGUAAACGGCGGCCGUAACUAUAACGGUCCUAAGGUAGCGAAAUUCCUUGUCGGGUAAGUUCCGACCUGCACGAAUGGCGUAAUGAUGGCCAGGCUGUCUCCACCCGAGACUCAGUGAAAUUGAACUCGCUGUGAAGAUGCAGUGUACCCGCGGCAAGACGGAAAGACCCCGUGAACCUUUACUAUAGCUUGACACUGAACAUUGAGCCUUGAUGUGUAGGAUAGGUGGGAGGCUUUGAAGCGUGGACGCCAGUCUGCGUGGAGCCAACCUUGAAAUACCACCCUUUAAUGUUUGAUGUUCUAACGUUGGCCCCUUAUCGGGGUUGCGGACAGUGUCUGGUGGGUAGUUUGACUGGGGCGGUCUCCUCCCAAAGAGUAACGGAGGAGCACGAAGGUUAGCUAAUCCUGGUCGGACAUCAGGAGGUUAGUGCAAUGGCAUAAGCUAGCUUGACUGCGAGCGUGACGGCGCGAGCAGGUGCGAAAGCAGGUCAUAGUGAUCCGGUGGUUCUGAAUGGAAGGGCCAUCGCUCAACGGAUAAAAGGUACUCCGGGGAUAACAGGCUGAUACCGCCCAAGAGUUCAUAUCGACGGCGGUGUUUGGCACCUCGAUGUCGGCUCAUCACAUCCUGGGGCUGAAGUAGGUCCCAAGGGUAUGGCUGUUCGCCAUUUAAAGUGGUACGCGAGCUGGGUUUAGAACGUCGUGAGACAGUUCGGUCCCUAUCUGCCGUGGGCGCUGGAGAAUUGAGGGGGGCUGCUCCUAGUACGAGAGGACCGGAGUGGACGCAUCACUGGUGUUCGGGUUGUCAUGCCAAUGGCACUGCCCGGUAGCUAAAUGCGGAAGAGAUAAGUGCUGAAAGCAUCUAAGCACGAAACUUGCCCCGAGAUGAGUUCUCCCUGAGACUUUAAGUCUCCUGAAGGAACGUUGAAGACGACGACGUUGAUAGGCCGGGUGUGUAAGCGCAGCGAUGCGUUGAGCUAACCGGUACUAAUGAACCGUGAGGCUUAACCUU